rnacentral:rRNA from 1 species
AGUGAACGCUGGCGGUAGGCCUAACACAUGCAAGUCGAACGGCAGCACAGGAGAGCUUGCUCUCUGGGUGGCGAGUGGCGGACGGGUGAGGAAUACAUCGGAAUCUACUUUUUCGUGAGGGAUAACGUAGGGAAACUUACGCUAAUACCGCAUACGACCUACGGGUGAAAGCAGGGGACCUUCGGGCCUGGCGCGAUUGAAUGAGCCGAUGUCGGAUUAGCUAGUUGGCGGGGUAAAGGCCCACCAAGGCGACGAUCCGUAGCUGGUCUGAGAGAAUGAUCAGCCACACUGGAACUGAGACACGGUCCAGACUCCUACGGGAGGCAGCAGUGGGGAAUAUUGGACAAUGGGCGCAAGCCUGAUCCAGCCAUACCGCGUGGGUGAAGAAGGCCUUCGGGUUGUAAAGCCCUUUUGUUGGGAAAGAAAUCCAGCUGGCUAAUACCCGGUUGGGAUGACGGUACCCAAAGAAUAAGCACCGGCUAACUUCGUGCCAGCCGCCGCCGUAA